CUCCCUCAUUUAACUUGCAAUAUAGUCUCUAUUCUUGAAUAUCCGAGACAAAUGUGUUCGCUUUAGUCUUUACCCAUUAACAGCUAAGACUUGAUCUUUCAUUUGCUUCUCCAAAUCAUAGCUAAAUUCUACCCACUCGAUCUCUUAUUAUGAUUUUUUACAGCUGCCCCUUAUCUAGACUUAGUAAAGCCAUGUGCUUUUCAUCUACAUUAAUUCCAUCAAACUUAAUUAACAUGUUUUUUAAUCAUUUAUACUAAUAUAAAAGUUGUAUUAGUACAUGUUCGUGUUUAUUCUGAACUAAAUAGUUUCAAGCGCAUGGCGUAGGCA
rnacentral:lncRNA from 1 species